rnacentral:rRNA from 1 species
UCAGUAACACGUAGUCAACAUGCCCAGGGGACGUGGAUAACCUCGGGAAACUGAGGAUAAACCGCGAUAGGUCACUACUUCUGGAAUGGGUAAUGACCCAAACCUAUAUGGCCCCCGGAUUGGACUGCGGCCGAUCAGGCUGUUGGUGAGGUAAUGGCCCACCAAACCUGUAACCGGUACGGGCUCUGAGAGGAGGAGCCCGGAGAUGGGCACUGAGACAAGGGCCCAGGCCCUAUGGGGCGCAGCAGGCGCGAAACCUCUGCAAUAGGCGAAAGCUUGACAGGGUUACUCUGAGUGAUUUCCGUUAAGGGAGAUCUUUCGGCACCUCUAAAAAUUGGUUGCAGAAUAAGGGGUGGG